UAUAAGAAAUUUAUUAACGGAAAUCUUUUUAGGGAAUAAAAGACAUAAGCAAACCUUUUAAUGGGAUAUUUAAAUAAUAAUAUUUUAUAUAAUUUUUUACUCUUAAACCUUAUAAACUCCUUGCUAAUUCCAUAUUUGUUUAACUUUUAAUCAUUCCCAAUCUUUUUACCAAUAAUUUCCUUUUACAGGGUAACUAUAAUUCCAGCUCUUAAGCACAAUUUUACCUUUGGCUUGCCAUGGACCUCUCCCCCUCCCUUUUUUUAUGCGAUAUUUAAACAAAUUGCUUGUAGAAUAUUUGUGACAUUUUGUCAUGCCCAGCAAGUUAUGUGAGUUUCUGUACUAGUGUGUGUGUGUGUGUGUGUGUGUAUAAACCCCACGUUCCUGGCUCAGCGGGCAGUGAAAAUUGAGUACAAGUUGCUUUGAGUUGCAUCAUCAAUCAUUGCACACGUUGAAUGAUGUUUUGUCACAGAUAUGCCGCCGGCAGCAUUAGCAGCAUCAGCAGCAGCAAAGGCAGCAUCAAAAACAGACCAAAAAGAUAUUGGGAAUGGAGAUGGAGAUGGAAAAGAGGAGACUGAGGUAUCUGUCAGCUACAAAAACAAGUCAAAAUAUUUAUAAAAGUCAAAAUUGUCGCACAGUUUUGUGGGAAGGAGGUGGUGGGAUUCUCGGACUCGUAUUCGAUUUCGAUUCGGUUGCCUGACGGCACAGAUACACACACACACACACACACAAACACACCUAAAUAAAUCCCAAAAACCAUCUCAUCUCAUCUCAUCUCUCUGGGCAUUUGUAAUUAAUAAUCCAAGCUGCGCGUUUCGUCAUUUUGAGCUUGAGAAAUGAUGCCGAGAAGAAAGUUCUUUUGAGAGAAAAAACAGAAGAGGCAUGAGUAGAAACCACAUCGAUUGGAAUUCCCUAACAAACAGUAGAGCUUCGUGUAAUGACAAAACGUUUUGACUUACAGCAACGCCGAGAAAACUUGAGGAAUUGCUCUAAUCAAAAAGUUUAAAAAACAAAAAGAGCUUAAAAACUUUAGCUCAACGGGGAAGAUAAAUGAUUCGAGUGAGAAAAAUGUUAUAAGUUGGUGUAUAGUUUAGAUUAGAGUUUCAUAAGUAGUCGGCACAUAAUACGGAUUAAUUGCUGAGGGAAUAUGGUGAACAAUUUUCAGACGAAAGUUUUGUAUGACUUCGUGUGUGAAGUUCCCAAAAAUUCUUUAAAAAAUGUUUAAUACCUAAACAACCUUUUUUGGCAUUAAACAUUUAAUCUCAAAUGAUUCUGUUUAACUUAAUAGAUUUCGCAGAACUUUGUUUUCAGACAACACUCGAAGAAGAUUAAACCAUCUUUGUCUAAUUCUAAUUCCUUAAGCAUUUCAAAAACCACCUCGCCCUUGGGUAGUUCUUCCGCAAAACCACAGAAACCAAGAAGAAAAAUUCAACAAUUUAAGGCUAAAUUAGUGAGUGUGUGUGUGUCUACAGAUAUCUUAGCUCUGCCCCCCCUUUAGCCGCAUAUCCGAGUUGUCAACUUUAAUUAUUGGCCACAAAAACCAAACUGAGACUGAGACGAGACACGCUCGGAGAACUUUAAGCCUAACCAUGUCAAUUGUUUGACAUUAAAAUGCGCCGAGAAAGACAGUGGAGAACUGGCUCUAAACAAAAAGCCAAAAUUGAAUUCCAAAAGUGAACAACGAAAAGGGGGGGGGGGAACAGGAGGCUGUGGCAAGAGAUAGAGGAGAACCGAAACGAGACGAGAGUAAAUACCGCAAAUAAAAUAAAUUAAAUAAGAAAACUACCGCUGUCAAAAGGUUUAACAUUUCACUUAAAAACAAAAAAUAAACCAAAGACUCGGAGAAAGAAAUGCUGUGGAAGAGUUGGACCGACUUCAAGUAUCUGUGUGUAUUUUGCCCGGUUUCGGUUUCGGUUUCGGUUUCGGUUUCUUCGGUUUUUGUGCCUUCGCUCUUGGCUCAAGUUGAACAACAAUUUCCAAGAAAAUUAAAACAUGUAAAGACAUAUCUUUUCAUCUGACAAACAUGGACCUGGACGGCGGCGGUGGAGCCAGCCCCAUGCAUAUGUAAAUAUAUAUCUGUGUUCCUGCUGCCCUGACCCAUGUCCCAUGUUCUUCUC